AGAGUUUGAUCCUGGCUCAGGAUGAACGCUGGCGGCGUGCCUAACACAUGCAAGUCGAGCGAGAUUUAGUGGAGUGGAGACUUCGGUCAAAGUGAAACUGAUGAAAGCGGCGGACGGGUGAGUAACGCGUGGGCAACCUGCCCCAUACAAAGGGAUAGCCACUGGAAACGGUGAUUAAUACCUUAUAAGUCGGUAGUCUCGCAUGAGACAGCCGACAAAGAUUUAUCGGUAUGGGAUGGGCCCGCGUUUGAUUAGCUAGUUGGUGAGGUAACGGCUCACCAAGGCGACGAUCAAUAGCCGACCUGAGAGGGUGAUCGGCCACACUGGAACUGAGACACGGACCAGACUCCUACGGGAGGCAGCAGUGAGGAAUAUUGCACAAUGGGGGAAACCCUGAUGCAGCAACGCCGCGUGGAGGAUGACGCAUUUCGGUGUGUAAACUCCUUUUAUAUGUCAAGAAAAUGACGGUAGCAUAUGAAUAAGCACCGGCUAACUCCGUGCCAGCAGCCGCGGUAAUACGGAGGGUGCAAGCGUUACUCGGAAUCACUGGGCGUAAAGGACGCGUAGGCUGGCUGACAAGUCAGAUGUGAAAUCCUAUGGCUUAACCAUAGAACUGCAUUUGAAACUGUUAGUCUAGAGUAUGGGAGGGGGAGAUGGAAUUAGUGGUGUAGGGGUAAAAUCCGUAGAUAUCACUAGGAAUACCUAAAGCGAAGGCGAUCUCCUGGAACAUUACUGACGCUAAGGCGUGAAAGCGUGGGGAGCAAACAGGAUUAGAUACCCUGGUAGUCC
rnacentral:rRNA from 1 species